rnacentral:tRNA from 1 species
GCCAGCAUGGUGUAGUGGUUUGAGUGUUAGACUAUGACUCUGGAGACCAGGGUUCAAUUCCCCACUCAGCCA